rnacentral:rRNA from 1 species
GCCAGACUCCUACGGGAGGCAGCAGUGGGGAAUAUUGCACAAUGGGGGAAACCCUGAUGCAGCGACGCCGCGUGAGCGAAGAAGUAUUUCGGUAUGUAAAGCUCUAUCAGCAGGGAAGAAAAAAAUGACGGUACCUGAGUAAGAAGCACCGGCUAAAUACGUGCCAGCAGCCGCGGUAAUACGUAUGGUGCAAGCGUUAUCCGGAUUUACUGGGUGUAAAGGGAGCGUAGGCGGCAAGGCAAGUCUGAUGUGAAAACCCAGGGCCCAACCCUGGGACUGCAUUGGAAACUGUAUUGCUUGGGUACCGGAGAGGCAGGCGGAAUUCCUAGUGUAGCGGUGAAAUGCGUAGAUAUUAGGAGGAACACCAGUGGCGAAGGCGGCCUGCUGGACGGUAACUGACGCUGAGGCUCGAAAGCGUGGGGAGCAAACAGGAUUAGAUACCCCCGUAAG